rnacentral:misc_RNA from 1 species
CCGGCCGAGGUGUGCAGGGGCCGCACGUGGACAGCUGGGCUCAGUACGGUGUCGCGGUGCGCGCUGCGCCGACGCAGUCGACAGCGAUGUCGGAGGCGACGCUGCGCGUGCUGCACACGUGCCGCGCGCUGCUGGCCCGCUCCGGAACCAGCGAGCAGGCGGCGCCGCUGCUGUUCCGCGCGUGUCUGUGUGCCAACGGCUGGCCGGGUGCCUGCCCGGACAGCGUGGGGCCGGGCCGGCCGGCGCCAGGCCUGAACCAGGCCGACCUGGAGAGCCGGCGGCUGUCCGAGGAGGCCGAGGCAGGUCCGCUGGGUGGCGGCCCGCUGGUGCCGCUCAGCGCCGUCCUCGCGCUCAUCUGCAUCGGCCUCAGUCGGGCUCGUGUACGCGUACCGUCAACGACACCGGCAGGACGGGCCGGCGGAGCCACGUGACAGGGGAGACUCGCGGCACAUGCCGGUGCCAGUCUGCGAGCUCGAGGCGGCGCGGCCCCCUCCGGCCGGCCGCUGCCGGGGCCCGCGCGACCUGCCGCCGCCUUACCUCGACGUCAUCGCCGAAGAGCCUCCUGCCUACGACUCGGUCUGCAUCGAGGACGACGCCAAACGAAGCAGUGUCGUUGACAUUGUGUGACUGGAACGGCGCGGUCCGAGGGUCGGCGGCGCAUUCUGGACUGGAACGGGUCUGGCCCCGGACUAGAGCAGGUCUGACCCCGGACCGGAGCGGAUCUGACCCCGGACCAGAGCAGGUCUGACCCCGGGCCGGAGCGGGUCUGACCCCGGACCGGAGCGGGUCUGACCCCGGACCGGAGCAGGUCUGACCCCGGACUGGAGCGGGUCUGACCCCGGACCGGAGCGGGUCUGACCCCGGACCGGAGCAGGUCUGACCCCGGACUGGAGUGUGUCUGACCCUGAAUGGUGCGGGUCUGACUCCGGACUAGAAGGUGUCGGGAUCCCGCAUGACCUUCCUACAUGCGCUGCCACUACGUAAUCUGGGUUACGUGGACCCGGUAUCCGGGGUAUAGUUACGCAAAAUGACUUCCCGAAAGGGCGGGGGGGGGGGGAGGGCUGAUUAUUGACAAAUGACGCAACUUACUCCUAAAAUAUGUCCACGAACGGGUUUUCCCCGGAUUUCACCGACAUCCUUCUCGAAGUCAAGAACGGGCUGACCCCCCCCCCCCCCCCCCCCUCCCCGGACAGAAUAGGAACCCCAGUCGGGAUUUGAUGCUUGACCUGGUAGGUGCCGGGAUCUCGCGAGUGUAUGUCAGUCGCCCUCGACGCGGGCGACUUGCACCCGUGUCACGGUCGGGCGCGACUAAGGCUUGCACCCGUGUCACGGUCGGGCGCGACUAAGGCCGCGGUAAGGCGUCCGCGGGCCGCCUCGGACAGCGGGGGACUCCCCGCCGUGACGGGCGUCGGGGCCAGUGUUGCAGUGACCCGAGUGACCCGGUGGGGCCGCCGGUCAGCUCUCUGUCGUUUCGGCCCGGGUCUGCAGGCCGUUGGGGCGGCAGACACUUGGGCCGUCGUUCGCCGGAGGGGACGCGGACACGUCGUCGCACCGCUGGCAUCCUUUCCAGCACGGACGGCGGACAAAACGCAGAAAAUCACGGGCACUUGUUGCGCGCUAACCACGAAAAAAUGAUGUUGCGAGUGUAACGACCUGUUGGAUCACAAGCCACGUCGUCCGAAUUAGAAGCUGAGGCUGGGUUGAAGCGCCGCCAAACGGCCCAACAGGCCACCGCGGCUCUUGUCUUCAUCUGCAGCUGGGAGUUCCCACCUCGCAACGCUGCCAGAUGGGGCCUUCAUCCACCCUGUAUCACACCGCUACGCUACGUUCUGGAAGUAGUGCUACCCGCCGUUGGCUGAGUUAGGGAAGGAGCGGCCUCCGGUGCACCCUAUGUUUGUGAUAGAUGAUGUACAACUCUGACAGGCGACAGCAGUUCACUACUGUUUUCUGCGAACGGGUACAAGGUGCGUGAUGGCUUCGUUUCGUCCUGUCGUCGGCGUGGACGGCGAAAAUGACGCCCUUCUCGCCCUCCCAGAUGAAACUCUUCGAGACCGGGAUCGUUAAUCCACGGCAGGCAGCCAGUGCUCGGUGAUUUUCUGUGUUACCUUGAAACAUGACGUCAUUAGAUCACGUUUGGUGCCAGCGAUCCGUGAAUCUACUGUAUUCGCUGACCGUCGCUGUGGUGCCGCAGCGCGGUGCUGGGUGGGUCAGGCGAGGUUGUGAGUCGCCAGCGGUGACUGCAGGUUUGCGGUGCGGCGGUUGUCCGUGUGCUGGGUCGCAUACAGUGUCGGCUUCUGCAAUGCCUAGACAUUGCCAGCAGGCACCGACUGACUCGGGUGUUGACAAGCCAGAUGUGGCCGUCGGUUCGCUAGGUGGUAGGGAGAUGGGUACGCCGGUCACGCGGUACGAGUAGCGUGCAUGCAAUUUUGUACUCAAAGGUGUUUUGUAUGUUUGUACUCAUCAGCUACUGACUGCUGCGAGUCAGCGAAUGAGUGGGAUCACAGGUCUUCCAACCCGUAGCGAACCCCAUCUCAUCGUCAUGACUCUCGCAGGGCGCCCGCCGCCGGUGAGCCCGAUUUGUCUGGAGGCACCGUACAAAAAGGCCAUCAUUACUUCCGUUCGCAGCCGCCCAGGCGAGCCACCUCGCGCGCGCCCUGCGCGGAACAGUUCCGUCCUGGUGUACGCAAAGCGACGUUGAGCUUUGUUCUUCACCACUAGGUGGGCAUGAGCUCAGCCCUUGUGAACCGAUAGCGUAUGUUUGUGAACGCGCUUCUCGAAGAGCUUGGUUACCGAAAGUGGUUCCAUACAUGUGCAUAGAUAUGAAAUAAACGUGUAUUACGACUC